UACGUAGGGGGCAAGCGUUGUCCGGAUUUAUUGGGCGUAAAGAGCGUGUAGGCGGUUAGGUAGGUCCGUUGUGAAAAACUCGAGGCUCAACCUCGAGACGCCGAUGGAAACCAUCUGACUAGAGUCCGGAAGAGGAGAGUGGAAUUCCUGGUGUAGCGGUGGAAUGCGCAGAUAUCAGGAGGAACACCGGUGGCGAAGGCGGAUCUCUGGGCCAUAACUGACGCUGAGGAGCGAAAGCUGGGGAGCGAACAGG
rnacentral:rRNA from 1 species